GGAUGUGAGGGCUAUUUGGCUGUGACAUCUGUCACCCCACUGAUCGCCAGAUUUGAUUUGGCUGAUCUGGCUGACUAGGCAGGUGUCCCCUUCCUUCCUCACUGUUCCAUGUGUAUCCCUUCCAAAGCUGCAUGUUCUGUCAAAGAGGACAACCAUCCCUGAUAGAGGAGGACUGUUCUUUGGUCAAGGGUAUAUGAGUAGCUGUGAUCCCCUGCUAGAACCUCUAAACAAGCUCUCAAUUGGUAACCUAAGACUGGAAGAGAAGCUCACCAGAGGAAGAUAAGAGCUAUCCAUGUGUUCUUGAU
rnacentral:snRNA from 1 species